GACGAACCGUGCGAACGUUAUUCGGAAUCACUGGGCUUAAAGCGCGUGUAGGCGGGGUGGCACGUCGGUCGCUGAAAGCCCCCGGCUCAACCGGGGAAGGGGCGCCGAUACGACCACCCUGGAGGGACGUAGGGGGACCUGGAACUUCCGGUGGAGCGGUGAAAUGCGUUGAGAUCGGAAGGAACGCCCGUGGCGAAAGCGAGGUCCUGGACGCCUACUGACGCUGAGACGCGAAAGCCAGGGGAGCGAACGGG
rnacentral:rRNA from 1 species